AGUGAACGCUGGCGGUAGGCCUAACACAUGCAAGUCGAACGGCAGCACAGUAAGAGCUUGCUCUUACGGGUGGCGAGUGGCGGACGGGUGAGGAAUACAUCGGAAUCUACUUUUUCGUGGGGGAUAACGUAGGGCCACUUACGCUAAUACCGCAUACGACCUACGGGUUAAAGCAGGGGAUCUUCGGACUUUGCGCGAUUGAAUGAGACGAUGUCGGAUUAGCUAGUUGGCGGGGUAAAGGCCCACCAAGGCGACGAUCCGUAGCUGGUCUGAGAGGAUGAUCAGCCACACUGGAACUGAGACACGGUCCAGACUCCUACGGGAGGCAGCAGUGGGGAAUAUUGGACAAUGGGCGCAAGCCUGAUCCAGCCAUACCGCGUGGGUGAAGAAGGCCUUCGGGUUGUAAAGCCCUUUUGUUGGGAAAGAAAAGCAGCAGAUGAAUACCCCGCUGUUCUGACGGUACCCAAAGAAUAAGCACCGGCUAACUUCGUG
rnacentral:rRNA from 1 species